rnacentral:rRNA from 1 species
AUUGAACGCUGGCGGAAUGCUUUACACAUGCAAGUCGAACGGCAGCACGGACUUCGGUCUGGUGGCGAGUGGCGAACGGGUGAGUAAUGUAUCGGAACGUGCCCAGUCGUGGGGGAUAACGUAGUGAAAAUUACGCUAAUACCGCAUACGAUCUAUGGAUGAAAGCGGGGGAUCGCAAGACCUCGCGCGAUUGGAGCGGCCGAUAUCAGAUUAGGUAGUUGGUGGGGUAAAGGCCCACCAAGCCAACGAUCUGUAGCUGGUCUGAGAGGACGACCAGCCACACUGGAACUGGGACACGGUCCAGACUCCUACGGGAGGCAGCAGUGGGGAAUUUUGGAAAAUGGGCGAAAGCCGGCUCCAGGCAUUCCGCGUGCAGGAUGAAGGCCCUCGGGUUGUAAACUGCUUUUGUACAGAACGAAAAGGUUUCUACUAAUACUAGGAGCUCAUGACGGUACUGUAAGAAUAAGCACCGGCUAACUACGUGCCAGCCGCCGCGGUAA